rnacentral:rRNA from 1 species
AACGCGAAGAACCUUACCUGGGCUCGAACGGUCGUGGACAACCGGUGAAAGCCGGUCUUCCCGCAAGGGACCGCGAUCGAGGUGCUGCAUGGCUGUCGUCAGCUCGUGUCGUGAGAUGUUGGGUUAAGUCCCGCAACGAGCGCAACCCUCGCCCUUAGUUGCCAGUCCGCAAGGACGCACUCUAGGGGGACUGCCACGGAUAACGUGGAGGAAGGUGAGGAUGACGUCAAGUCCUCAUGGCCUUUAUGUCCAGGGCUACACACGUGCUACAAUGGUCGGUACAAUCCGUCGCCAACUCGCGAGAGGGAGCCAAUCGGAAAAAGCCGGCCUCAGUUCGGAUUGCAGUCUGCAACUCGACUGCAUGAAGCUGGAAUCGCUAGUAAUGGCACAUCAGCACGGUGCCGUGAAUACGUUCCCGGGUUUGUACACUCGA